rfam:Phytophthora infestans T30-4 supercont1.4 genomic scaffold, whole genome shotgun sequence.
UCUCCUAUAGCUCAGUUGGUAGAGCGUGCGGCUGUUAACCUCAAGGUCGCUGGUUCAAACCCAGCUGGGAGAG